CUGCACAGCCAAUACGACCACCUUGUUCCCAAACCUGGCCAACAGAAUCCGCAGCUUCUCCGGGGCAUCUGGGCUUAGCAGGAUCACUGACGAACCCGCACACCCAAUGAGAACACCAAACUUGAGCGAUCUAUGACAAUACAUCCCACUGUAGGUCUCGCUUCUCCCUCCAGUCGAACUCAGGUCACUCCUCCACACCAGCAAAUGGAUUCUGUGUCACCUUCCUCAGUAAGCCCUGCCACUUCCACACAGUCACCCCCAGGGCCAAUUUACAGCUCAACCCAUGUUUGCUUCUGUUGUCAGUCAAAGUGUUGAACAAAUGUGCAAUCUUCUUCUGCGAGAUCAAAAGCCCAAAAAACAAGGCAAAUAUAUCUGUGAGUAUUGCAAUAGGGCAUGUGCAAAGCCCAGCGUGCUUUUAAAGCAUAUCCGUUCCCACACUGGAGAGCGGCCCUACCCCUGUGUGACUUGUGGGUUUUCGUUUAAGACUAAAAGUAAUCUGUAUAAGCACAAGAAAUCCCACGCACACACUAUCAAACUGGGUCUUGUCUUACAACCAGAGGCUGGUGGUUUGUUCUUGUCCCAAGAGUGCCCCAAAGCACUUAGUGUCCAUUCGGAUAUUGAAGACAGUGGGGAGAGUGAUGAAGAGGGGCCUGGAGAUGGGAGACAGAAUGACCCAAGUGUCAGGGACCUUCAGCCUGUGCAAAUAAUGAAGAUGCCAUCAGAUCCCGAAGCUUUACCCAAAUCGAUUGCAAGCCGUGCAGAUCAUGUGGUCAGUGGCUUCUCUUCACAGGACAGACCUUCAGAGUCACAAGCCCUGACAGAGUUACCAAAAGUUGUGGUCCACCCAGUAAGCAUGUCCCCCUUAAAAACUGACAGUGUGCAGGUGGCCAGUCCCAAGCCUGAACUCCCUAGCACACAGAGCCAGAAGGACCUUCAUGCUGCAAGCAGACUGUCACAUUCAGCUGGUGUGUCAUCCCUAGAGACAGAUGAGACGUGCCAUCAGAAAGGGGAUGUGACUCUGUCAGAAGGGAAGCCAGAGCCUCACAGUGGAGCAGCUCAUGCGCAGCUCCAAAGGCAGCAGGCCACAGACGACCCCCAGGAACAGCAGGGAAAGCUGCUUCUGAGCCCACGGAGCUUAGGAAGUACAGAUUCUGGCUACUUUUCACGUUCUGAAAGUGCUGAUCAAGCCAUGAGUCCUCCAACUCCGUUUGCCAGAACUUUUCCCACCACAGACCCAGACCCAGCUAAGAACAGUGGGCCCGCAGGGCCUCGAAUCAGCGCUCCAGCACCUGCUGCUUUGGCCCCCGGAGAGAAGUCAUCAGUUGUAGCAGGCCAGAUGCGCCCACCCUUGGCAACCAAAACUCUGGAGGAAAGGAUUUCCAAGCUGAUCUCAGACAAUGAAGCCUUGGUUGAUGAUAAGCAACUGGAUAGCGUGAAGCCCCGGAGAACCUCGCUUUCUAGACGGGGAAGCAUCGACUCCCCCAAGUCAUACAUAUUCAAAGAUUCUUUCCAGUUCGACCUGAAGCCAAUGGGACGGAGAACAAGUUCCAGCUCUGAUAUACCAAAGUCCCCAUUCACCCCGACCGAGAAGUCAAAGCAGGUGUUCCUCCUGUCUGUCCCUUCCCUGGACUGUCUGCCUAUCACGAGAAGUAACUCCAUGCCAACCACGGGAUAUUCAGCAGUCCCUGCAAACAUAAUUCCUCCCCCUCCCCCUCUGAGAGGAAGCCAGUCAUUUGAUGAUAAAAUUGGCACCUUCUAUGAUGAUGUCUUUGUGUCGGGACCCAACCCAUCCAUGCCCCCAAGUGGACAUCACCGUCCCCUGGUCAGACAGGCGGCAGUGGAAGACUCGACGGCCAGUGAGAAUCACGUUCUGGGCUCUGGGCAGUCUGUGGAUGAGAGCUGUCAAGGGUGCCCAGCCUCCAGUGAGCC
rnacentral:lncRNA from 14 species